rnacentral:rRNA from 1 species
GGACCCGCACAAGUAGUGGAGCAUGUGGUUUAAUUCGAAGAUACGCGCAGAACCUUACCAACACUUGACAUGUUCGUCGCGACUUUAAGAGAUUAAAGUUUUCGGUUCGGCCGGACGAAACACAGGUGCUGCAUGGCUGUCGUCAGCUCGUGUCGUGAGAUGUUGGGUUAAGUCCCGCAACGAGCGCAACCCUCACUUUUAGUUGCCAUCAUUUAGUUGGGCACUCUGAAAGAACUGCCAGUGAUAAGCUGGAGGAAGGUGGGGGAUGACGUCAAGUCCUCAUGGCCCCUUACGUGUUGGGCUACACACGUGCUACAAAUGGUAUCUACAACAGGAAGCCAAAAACAGCGAUGUU